GGUUGAUCCUGCCAGUAGUCAUAUGCUUGUCUUAAAGACUAAGCCAUGCAUGUCUAAGUAUAAGUAUUAUACAGCGAAACUGCGAAUGGCUCAUUAAAACAGUUAUAGUUUAUUCGAUUAUUUGCCCCCUACAUGGAUAACCGUAGUAAUUCUAGAGCUAAUACAUGCUGUCAAACCUGACUUUUGCGGAAGGGUUGUAUUUAUUAGAUAUAAACCAAUAUCCCUCACGGGAUGUUGUGAUGAUUCAUAAUAACUGAGCGGAUCGCGGCCUCGCCGCGACGAAUCGUUCAAG
rnacentral:rRNA from 1 species